NNACCAACAGGGAUUGCCUUAGUAACGGCGAGUGAAGCGGCAAAAGCUCAAAUUUGAAAUCUGGCGCCUUCGGUGUCCGAGUUGUAAUUUGAAGAAGGCUACUUUGGAGUUGGCUCUUGUCUAUGUUCCUUGGAACAGGACGUCACAGAGGGUGAGAAUCCCGUGCGAUGAGAUGCCCAAUUCUUUGUAAAGUGCUUUCGAAGAGUCGAGUUGUUUGGGAAUGCAGCUCUAAGUGGGUGGUAAAUUCCAUCUAAAGCUAAAUAUUUGCGAGAGACCGAUAGCGAACAAGUACAGUGAUGGAAAGAUGAAAAGAACUUUGAAAAGAGAGUGAAAAAGUACGUGAAAUUGUUGAAAGGGAAGGAUUUGAGAUCAGACUUGGUAUUUUGCAACCUUACCCUCGUGGUGGGGCCCCUGCAGUUUACUGGGCCAGCAUCAGUUUGGAUGAUGGGAUAAUGACUAAGGAAUGUGGCUCUGCUUCGGUGGAGUGUUAUAGACUUGGUUGAUACCGUCUAUCUAGACUGAGGACUGCGUCUUUUGACAAGGAUGUUGGCAUAAUGAUCUUAAAUCAC
rnacentral:rRNA from 1 species